AUUUUGCUGAUAACAAAGUGAGAUUAAAUAGAGAUAACAUAUAAUAUAUAAGGAAGACCAAAAAAUAAAAAUAAAAAGUAAAAGGGUCCAACAACCUUUUAUAAGUAAAUUUUUAAAGACUGUUUACUUUUUAAUAGUAUAGAUUAAAAUAUUUUCGUAGUAUAUUAUUAUUAUUUUUUGAAGAACAUUAUUUUAUAAAAAAAACUAUUAUUUUAGACAGAAAAACUAUUCUGUUAAUAGAAUUUUAUUACGAUCAACCACCUCUCAUGUCAUUUUUAAAUGAUCAUAUCAUAUUAUUUUAUAAAAUUUAUUUUACCUGUAUAUAAAAGGAAUUGUCAAAUGAAAUUUCUUUAGCAAAACAAUGUUACCUUCUUUUUGUUAUUAAUCCAAACUUGAUUUUACUAUGUUUUUUUAAAUAUAAUAUAUGCAUCUGUUUAAUUAACAGAAUAGCUCUUUAUAAAAGAGCAGCUGAAAUUUUGAAGAAAUAAAAAUUAAAUUACCUUCGUUGAUUUAUGACAUAUACUGUACACAUUACGUAUUUUUAGGCCCAUACACAUGUACAUGUCGUUAUAUAUCUGUUCACACUUUUUAAUUUAGCUGAAAAUACAACUCGAUUUUUCCAAUGAUAUACAACUCAGAAUUUGUGUUUGGCAGCGAGAGACCUACGGUACUCACAAAUAGAGUGAGCUGAGUACAAACUAAUCUCACUUCAUUUGAGACUACAGCAAAUAUCGAAAUUAAAUUACUUUAUAGUAUGGUGAUUUCUAGACAUUAAUUAUUUUCUGCGACCAGCGGCAAAUAAACUAUAACAUAUAUAUGUUCUGACGUCAACUGAUGACCUUUCACAUGUGAAAUAAUUUGGCACUAGGAUUAGAUCCGCGCUUUGCGCGGGGUGAGAUUUUUUAAAAUUUUUUAAAAAUUAGGUUAUAAGAUGAAUAUUACUGAUAUGUGGUGGGGUUUUUAUUAAGAGAUAUAGGAUUUUUGUUUUUUCGUUAUAUAAGUAUUUAUAGAUAUUGGAAGAUUAAAUUGUAUUUACAGUCAAUGAUCUUUCUAUAAAUAUUUUUGUUUAUUACCGAGUAUGUGAUAUAUUUUUAGUAAGACAAAUAAAAUAGCAUACCAUUUUUUUGGUAACUAAUCUUAUUAAAAGAUUUAUAUUUGAUUAUUGUAAAGACUUUAACACAACUUAAUAGAACUUGGAAUUAAAAAAAAUAUUUCUCACAACAUUUAUGUAAAUUAUAUUGUCGUAACAUAUAUAACAUAAUAGAUGAGUUGAAUAAUUAUAAUGGGCCAUAAUAAUAAACAAAUAAAUUGAAAGGCCCGAUUAUAUUUGUUCCUUAAUUAUGAUUGUCCAAUAUUUGAGGGGAAAAGCAAGUCAUUGUCUUAACACAAAUUGCAGAUAUAUUGUUUCCCAAAUUUUUUUAAUUUUUCCCAUAUUUGCCGUUCCCGAAUCGACUGUUUCGUUUAUCACCGUCACAGACGAUUCCAAAGCGAUCUUCUGAUUUAUCUCUCUGUGCAAUACGUAUUCCCGUUCCAAACCUAAUCAAUAACAGCAAUCGAAGGUUACUGGUCUUCCACAGAGUAAACAAUCGAUUCAGAAAAUGAGAAGCUAUAAGGUUAGUCAAGUUGAUAAUAUUUUGAGAUCUGUAAAAUCAAUUAUCAAUUGCAGGGAGUUUCAUUUGUUUCGGUAUUUAUUUUUCAAUCGGGUCUCGAAUAUAGGUUGAAAUCUGACAUAGCUUUCACAGAAAACCUAAAUCCAUCGUUUACCUAUAUGAUUUCAACAAAUCUAAAUUCUAUUUAGGAGUAUCUAUUUGAAUUCAAAUGCUUGAUAAAAAUGUUAAAAUUUAAUGAUUGUUUGCUUGAUUGAAAUAGAAUUUUUAUGAUUAGUAUUAAAAAUUCUUUGCUUGAUAUGAGUAUACUUAAACAAUCAAGCAAAGCAAAACUUUGUGAAUUAUCCUUAAAUGUAUUUGAGUUGACGAUAUAUUUUAGUUUAUAUUGAAUAAGAGUUUCACAUUGCAGAGAAAGAUUGAAGAGGUGGGAACUAAGGGUGUUUUUUCAGACAAUAGGACGUCUACUAAUAAGGUUAGCAUCAACUGUAUUGACACAAUAGUGAGAUAAUUAAUUAUACGACCCAGUAAAGGACGCACUUGUGAAAAAUUAACUAUCAUUUAGCAUUGUAAAAAUAGAGAUCAAAAUAAAUUUAUCUUAUGUUAUAAAACCCAGGAACAUUAUAAAGCAAAAUCAAAAACUGAAAGAAAAAAACUGAAAACGAUAAAAUGUAACACCAAACGUCCUCCUCAUUAUCCCUUCGAAUGCUUGUUGCAAGACAUCAAUAAGCAUUUGGUGGAAUCCUGUUAAAAAAAGGACAAUUUUUUUUAACAAACAGUAGAGAUCUUUAAUGAUAUGAACAAAAUCGUGUUUUGUAAAGAUAUUAAUGCUCUUACAGCUGACGAAAAGCUAUAAUCUCCGGAAUAUUGGGUUCGAAUUCAAUCCUCGAACAUCCUUCAAUGUUCGUGAUGAAUGUGAAUCGACCUAAUGAAACAUAAAAAAAAUAUUUUGGUAAACACGUAUAAUUUAAGAACCAAUUUUACAGCGUAUAAAUUAAGUAUAAAUUUAACAGGUUUAAAACAAAAUUUAUACCUUGGAGCCUUUCGAUUUGCCAAAAACUCAAGACACACAAAACAACAUUUGCUCUUGUAUAAUUCCAGUAAGCAUCAAUCUCAACAGCGUUCCUUCCAUAUGCAACACAGUUUAGAUGUUUAUACCUGUAAUGUUAAGAGUCAUAUCAUCUUAGGAAAAUAGUAAAUGUAUUGUGUCAUAAACAAUGGAUUAAAGUAACACUUGAACUCACCCAGGAUUGACCAAGCUAAAACGCAUUUUUGGUAUCAUUGGCCCUCCAGGGGCUCCAACAUGUUCUAGAUCACCAACACUCACCAUAGCUCCGUAGACGUCUAUUGAAUAGAGUAAACAUAAGUGAUAUGGGAUAACACAAUGUAAAACAUAAAUAUACAUAUGAAAGUGUCAAAGAAAUAUUAUUAACAUAAGGAAAUUUGACGUUUAAACUUUUAAAAACAACAUACCUACAGAGUACAUAGGAUGUGCAAGGCCUCUCAAUAUGGUUUUAAAUUCUUUAAAACCAUAAUAGUUGCAAUCAGUUCUUGCUGGGACGUUAUUAAUAAUAGUAUUCUCACCAGUAAAUACAUGGAAGCGGUUUGUAGUAACCCUAAACCGGCGGAAAUUAUACAUUAGUUUGAAACCAUGGAUCUCAUACCAUUCUCCUUCAAACAUGAUGCAUUCAUUUCUGAUCAUUAUUUCAUCGACAAUAGUUCCUAGAACCGUGUUACCCUGUAUGCAAACAUAAAAUUAACAGUUAGAAAAACGACCAAAAAAAAUAAUACAGUAUAAACGGUAAUAAUAUCAAUCAUACUUUUUCAUCACCCAUUAGCAUUUGAGUUUCCCCACGGAUUAUUGCAGAACCAUCCUUCCAUUUACUGAUUACCUUCACUCUGACUACAGGAUUUUUGAGGGGGAGCUCAAAUUCAGAGAAAAACAUGAUAGAGCUCAUGAGGAAAUUGUAAGUUGAAAGAGUUUGAUCUUUUUGCUUUUUACUCCGAGUUAUUAACAUAUAUAUAGGAUACCAACUAUAGGGCAUCGUAAUAUUAGACUUAACAUAUUGUAUUUUCCGAAAUUUAUUGCAUUCAGUACGCGGAGGGAAGAGUAUAUACUUUUCGCUUGCGAAGCAAGUUGAGAUCGUCUGGUAUAUAUGUUACAAUAAAAUUUCUGUCCAAAUUAAACAAUAAAUCUUGAAUAUAUUGUAACACAUUAGAUUAAGUUUACUUAUUUAGACACGUUAGAUUAAGUAAACUAAUUUAGAUACAUGGGUGGCUAUAACAGUAAUAUAAAUCUAUACGUAUGGUAUUUUUGAUACAGAAUGCCAAAAACGGAUAUUGCAAUAAAAGAAUUUUUGAUUCUAUACUAUGUUGGAGGAAGGUAUAUAAAUAUAAGUUUAUGUAGUCAUUCUUUUCGUUUUAGUAAACCAAAUAGGGAAUAUUAGUAUAGUCCACCUUAUAGAGCCCAUAUUAAGAACCCACUAACUUACUUCACAAUUCGGUUACCGGUUAGAGAAGCUACAAUAUAAUUUAGGUUACACCAUUCUCUACAACCAGACAUUAAACCAACAGUUAGUUAAAUAUCGAAUAUAUAGAUGAGUUACCGAAACUGUAUUGUUAUGUGAAUAGCUGGCGUUCUGCGCCCAAAAAUUAGAAGUGCAAAAUAAACUAAACUGGAAAUCGCAAAAGUAGACAAUGUUGCAUAAGUCAGUGAUUUAUUUAGGUUCAACUCUAACUUUUGUACAUCCAAAUAUUUAUGGUUUGUUUAGCACACGAAAUGAUAAUUUGUUAAAAAAUUGUUUCGGUUUACAAAACCAACUAAGAUAUAUUAAGAAUUUAAUCGAAUAUAAUUUCUUUUUUUCCAACCCCUGCUAAACAUUAAAAAAACUUAUUCUAUUAUGACAGGCUUAAAUAAAGAAGCAGGAAGUUUUGAUAUAAAGUCAAGCGAAGGAGCAACUUCACACCUUGAGUUCACCAUGCAUCCAACGUACAUGAAAAUUAUUAGGACUAAUCCUCUUAGUGAAGGGCAACCGUAUUGAUGUUGAGUUGGACUCUUAUCUACAAUUGACUGAAUCUCCUAAAUCCGUUCAUUGGAAGCACAACUUGUAAGUUUUAUAAAAUUACGGGAAAAUAGAUUCAGGUGCGGAACUGACAAUGGUAGAUAGGACUAAAAACCGGAGAGCAUAUGAAGCGUUGUUUAGUGAUUAUGGAACAAUAAAGAAAAAUUUCUUGUUUAUAGAUACUAAUAUAUAAGCAGAACUUUGCACCGUCAAAAAAAAAAACAAUUUUAUGCAACCAUAUUGAAACAAAAGAGGCUUGCCAUUAAUUAUAAAACACCAACAUAAGUAUCGAAUAUGAAAAACACAACAUAAAUAUUUAAAAAAACUAACAUAAAACUUAGAAGUUGCGAAAACAUAGUUAAACAAAAGCAGAAGCCUCUAUCUUAUAAGAAAGCAUUGUACCCACUUCAGCCACUUUUAGCAAACUUCUCCUUCUUAAUCAUCAUGGAACCGGUACUCCUCGUAACAGAAUUCUGGUCAUUGAUUUCUUCCAAUUCAAUAUCGACUGCCCUAACACGUUUAGCAGGAGUCAGAUCGUCAGACUCAAACUGCUCAGAAGCUGAACCUUGAUUAGCAAGAGAGGCCUGCCGAUAUUAACCAAAUGUAAAUUAAAAAAAAACCCAUGACAUAUGUGUUAUAGCAAAUCUAUUACGGAUCUAUUACGGAUCGCCAACUAAGUAAGGAUGGCCACAAACCUCUGGUGCAUCGGAUUGAGUAUCCAUAUCAUGAAAUACACCUUCGCUUCCCUGAUAAUGUCGUUUAGAAUAGGUGAGAAAUAAUUAGAAAUAUGCAAUUAGGACCAUGUAAGUAUCAAAAAUAGAACUCCACGUACAUCUCGACAGUUGCUUUCUUCAAAAUCUUUGAUCAAAUCUUUGUUAGUGAUCACCUUCAAAACCUUGUAGGUAUCAUGUUUGUAGACAAAGUUCUCCCUCUCGAUUUGAAUUUUGAAUAAGCACGUUUUGCCAAUGAUGGUGUUAAGAACCGGAGGCAGCACAUUGGUUUCCUCAAUCUACAUUGAGAUAAAGAAGAAAGUACUUUAUAUUUAAGUUAACAGAGAUGUAAGGCGCGGGUCUUAAACGUUUAAAUAUGAUCUAUAGGAUCUGAAUCACUACCUCGACUUUUUCUGACGGACCAGCAAUCUGCAAGCAUGGCUUGUUUACCAGUUGCACAGCAAGACUAUCGAACACCAUUAGUUUUGUGUUGCUUGUGUUAUCAAGCACAACUAAAUGCAAUUUAUACCUAUAAGAUUUGUUAUUACAAUUAGUUACAGGAUGUUAAUAUUCAUAUAACACAUAAAAACAAAACUGAAAUUUUAAAAAGUACCUUGGAACUGUGACAGGAUUGUAAGCGUUACACUUUACACAAUAAUAUGUGUGCUUCAGAUCAUCAUCGUCAUUACCAUCAUCGUCCUUGACCGCAUAAACGGUCGAGACUUUUUUAGAACAGACUUUGCAGCUCAGAUAAAACCACCCCAUAUCAGAAUCAAUACCAGCGAUGGUGCACAUCAGAAUACACUUUUCAACCUAUUCAGACACAAUAUAGGAACUAUAAUGAGAUAAAAAAAGUAUAAAUAGAUAUAUAUAUAAGUUGUAAAACUCAUUUUACACAAUAAACAUCUAAAAUUGAAACCAUUAUUUUGAAAACUAACCUGUUUUGUUUCCUUCAUUUCAGCAAUGGUUUUUCUUGGUGUAUGGGUAAAGAAAUCAUCUUUAUCCGAAACACCUUUCGCAAUAGCCGCGUACUUAGACUCCACGAUGGCUAAAGGGAGCACAUCUUUAGGCAAACUACAAAAAAUUAAAACCAAUAAACAAUAUAUCAAAGCAAACACUGAAUAUCGAGUCAAUACAUAAAAGUUGUUUAUAUAUUGCAAAAUAUUGUAACAUACCUAUCAGUGAACUUUCCAACUUCAAUCAUUGGAAGAUUCAAACCUAAUUCACUCAUAUUGUAGGCAUUGCUGACACUUCUUUCUUCUGUUGGAAAAAGCAGCAUGUCAAUGAAUCUACUAUGGGUAAUUUAGUUUUCAAUUUAUAGAGGCAUACUUACCCUUCCACUCUUUGAUUUUCCCAAAUCGUAAAACCAAAAUGGUACAAUGCUCAUCUCGAACCUGCAUCGCCUCAUUAACAUCACAGGCGAAUUUACCCCAAAGAACAACCGGAAGUUUAUCAUCGCUGCAAUACAAAACAAAGUAACAACGUUUAAAUAAAAAAGCAAAUCAGGAUUAGUAUAAAUAAAAUAAUAAACGAUCAAUUUUAAAUAACAAAAACUUACUCCGAAUUGCGCAACUGUAAAGAAAUCUUCUCUGUUUCUUUCCCAUUGACAUUUAGAUGUUCAAGAUGACUGAUUUCAAUAAUCUGCCCGAUUAAAUCUGAAAAACAGACACAAAUGUCUAGGUUAAAAUUGCUAAAUAGAACCAUUACGCAUAAGUGAUAAUUCACGAUAACUUACCAACCAAGAAAUCGGCUGAAAGAGUACCAUCUAGUACUUCUUUGAACUUCACUGGCUCAAAACCAGAUAAAUCCUCAGGCAGUUGCUCACAUGGUCGUACACGUGUUGUGGACAGGAAGCUAAUCCGGUAAGCAUGAUUAGUGGUUCUGUAGGAACCACAGGCAUGCGUGACAACAAAAUUGAUCAACUUCAAAGACUGUCCUUGUCUUAGGAAGUGAUCGAAUUGUGCAACCAACUCCCUUUUAACCGAUGCAUGAAUCUUAGCACCCUAUGUAAAUAGCAAAAUAGACAAAAGACUUUCAUAAACGAAAUAAAGGACUAACGUAAAGUACUUUAAAGGCGUCCAAAGAAUCCCGUACCUUAACAUCGCAAAGAACCAUUUCAAUAGUUUCACCUCCAGCAGCUGAGUAUUGUUUCCACAACCGGAUGACUUUGACAUUGAUCUUCCACAUAGUUUUGAAAGGCUUAACAUCAGCGACUGGAUUGAUAGACAUGGUUUCUAAGCUGUGGAUUUUUUUUUUGCUUGUUUGCAAGUUGAUGUGUGAUUCGAUGAGUCGGAGCAUUGUUUAUAUAUAUGUCGUGUCUAGGUUUAGGAGCCAUAAUAAUUACCAGAAAAGGGUCAAAGGAAACUACAUAUUUUAUUUUCCUUAUCUCAUAUAUCACAUUAACAUCCAUGAAACCUUGGUGUCGAAGCAAACGUGAUGGCCACUCCAUCGUUAAAUGGUACUUAAAGUUAAAUAUUAUUUUUUCUUUAUCUUCUUUUUAUUACAUUAAUGAUUGCAAAUUUCGUUCCUAAACUAAGUCUCAAAAAUAUAGGAUAAAAGUGAUGGCCAAUCGAACAUUUAAAGAAAUCACAUAGUUCCAAAGUUAAAUGUAUACCACGACAUAUACUUACAACCUUAUUAUAUGUAAUCGAAUAACCACAUUACAUGUGACAAUAUUAAAAUUUUUUUAUGGUGGCAAUAGAAAUCCCCUAUAUAUUGUAACAUGUAAAUCUACAUAAUAGUUAUCAAGAUAAAUAUAUAAACACAAUUUGCAUUUUUUAAAAACAUUUCAUUACGGAUUGACCAAAGUUGUAAUGUCAUGGACCGAGAAUAUACAUACUAAAUCACUAUAAUAAACUGACUUUUCCGGAAAAAUAGAUUCAGGUAUGGAAUUGACAAUGGUAGAUAGGAUUAAAAACCGGAGAGCUUAUGAUGCGUUGUUUAGUGAUUAUGGAACAAUUGCAUAAAUAUUUCUUGUUUACGGAUACUUAUAGAUAAUCAGAACUUAACACAGUUGAA